AAGGGGGUCUGCUUGUUUACAGCUUGUCAAAUUGUUUAUCCUGGAGUGCCUCAGCUGCUUCACAAAUAAAAUACAGAUUCAUUCAUUCAUUGAAUUCUUCAUUCAGCAGAUAAUUAUUUAGCUUCUGCUAUGUCCUAGGCACUAUUCUAUAUAUCUGGAAUAUGUUAGUGAACAAAAGAAGGACCGCUGAUGUUCCUGUGGAACUCAUACAUUCUCUAAGGGGGACACACAGAAAAACAUCAAAUGUAAGAGAUGAGUAAAUAAUACGUUAGUAGGUGGUAAUGCUAAGGAAGCAAGAGUGGAAAAGGUAGGGGUGGGAUAGACUGUAGGUCCCUGAGGCAUAGUGCAGUUUUAAAUAGGGUGGUCAGGGUAGGCCAAGUGAGAGUCUUUGCCAAGUGUCUGGGCAAAGACUUCGAGGUGAAGGACUUAGCCAAGUGGAAAUCUGGGGGCAGCAUGUUCCAGGAAGAGUAUCACAUCUGGAGCAAAGGUCAAAUUUGGGAGCAGAUCAUGCAAAGCUAUGCAGGCUGCGUUACAGACUUCAGUUUUGCUCUAUGGGAAAUGAGCAGCCACUGCUGGAUUUCUAGCAAGCCAUUGGUAUUUUCAAAGUUGUGGAGAAUCUUUACCAUAGGAAGCAUGAAUAGGAGCGGAGUCAUAAGGACCUGUAGGAUUUGGGACAUAUUUUGAAGAGGGGGCCAGUCAACACCAAGAUUUUGAUGCAAGCAUCCAGAGUGAUGGUGAUGCCUGCAGGAGGUUUUGUUGCAGACAGAGCAAAUCAAGGGUAAAUUAUUUCUAGGGUUUCUUGAUCUUUGGUGAUCUCUGUUGUGGCUUGAAUCCAAAAGCCUCUUCUCUGACUUGGUGUUUCUCACAAACCUUAUUGCCAGUCCUCCUCUUUAGCUUUGCAGCCCUUCAAGUCUUAGCUUUAGGGAGGAAGAGUAGCCUCAUUUGCCAGGCAGCCUAUACGCUGGUUCCUCUUACUCAGUGCUUAGGUGUAAAUCUCUCCGCUAAGUGUCUUCCCUCUGGACACUGGACCUAGAGUGAAUAUGAAUGACUCCUAGUUGAGGGGAGAAAACCUUCCUAGUACUUUCAAUAUUUUCUUUACUUUUUUUUUCAUAAGAGUAAUUUUUUUUCGUUUUUCUUUUCUUUUCUUUUUUUCCUUUUUGGCCCCUCUACGGUGUAUGUGGAGUUCCCUGGCCAGGGGUCAGAUCUGAGCCCCAGUUGCUACCUGAGGCGCAGCUGUGGCAACAUUGGAUCCUUUAAUUCACUGUGUGCCGCAAAGAUGCCACCCAUCCUGUUGUAGCACAGAGGGAACGCCAAGAUUGAUUUUUUUCUUAUAAAUUUUUCUUAAAAUUAUAUAUUAUAAUAAUUUAAGUUUUAGAAGCAAAACUGAUCCUCAUUUUGUAGCAUUAAGGGUUAAUUUCUCUAGGUAAGGAGAACAUGGACAUGUUUCUUCUAGUUUUAUCAGAAUGUUUGAACCUUGAGCAGGAAAAAUUCCUCUUAAGGAUGAGCAGGAAAUGUACUUUCCCUAUCAAUCUUAUCACUUACUUCUUUAUUUUGGGUCAUCUGUAGGGAUUGUUGGGUUUACAGCCGACAGAAUGAGUUUUAAAAUAUGCCAACUGGCCACCAGGACCUGGGUUGAAACUAUAAACUGAUUUUAUUCAGGUCUCUGCAUAAGUGUGAUAGAGGCAUUGGUCCCCAUGGUCAAGUUUGCACUAAAGUCAUUGCACAGCAAAACCUCCCAAGGCUACAUUUUUAUGUUUCAUUUUCAGACUGUUGGUGCCAAAGGAGCAAUUAAAAUGUGUGAAUGAUGUCUAUUUCCCUCUUGAUAAAUAAUGUGGAUGGCCUACAGUCUGUUCAUAUUCAUGGCAAGGGAUUUAACAGGCUAUUGUGUUAGUAACAAUGUGGAUGCAAAUUAUAAACAUUUAUCAUCUCAAAGUUUCAUGCCAUUUUCAAAGCAAUGUCAGUUGAAACAGAUGCUCUAAACCCCCCCCCAAAAAAACAAUCUUUAGAUGAUUUCUCCACAUUCUCCCAAAACAAUUUGUCUCUCAGUAACUUCUAUUUAUUAUAUCAAAUAAUAUUGCAAAAUCUACUAGAAAGUGAAGUGUAGAGGAUAAAAAUUUUAAUGUAAUAUCCUCUAAAAUUGAUUUCCUAUCUCUCUAGAUGCUGUGAGCUAUUAUUAAAGUAUAUCAAUAACAACUUCCAUGUGCUGGAAGGUAAUAAUAAGUUCCCUGUGCAUGUUUAUUACCAUGUAUAUUAGGAGGUAAACUACAUAUAUGCUAAUGACAAUUUCCCAAUAUAUUUAUCUAUUUAUCUCAGAAUUUUACAAUUGAUAUUCUCUUCACUCCGGAAAAUCACUGAUCCUAACAGAAAAGUCUAAAGAUUUGAAAGUCUUAAACUUGAAGGGAUAUUUUGCCAAGGGGAAAAGACUCUUUAAGAAUUAUUAUAUUGGAAUUCCCUUGUGACACAGUGGAAUUCCCUCUGGCAUUGUCACUGCAGCAGCUCUGGUCACUGCAUGUGGAAAUACAGAGAAACAUAAAUCGUGGACUUGACCUCAAGGGGCUUAUUAUCUAGUUAGUAGGAUGGUCAAAGUUAAAAUAUACAUGGACAUAGGAGACAAUAAUCUCAUAAUUAAAUGGAUAUCAGAGAAGCAUAUUUUAGGCAUUUUGAAAGGAAAUAUUGUGAGAUAAUCAGGAAAGAUUUUAUGGAAGAAGUGGAAUUAGGCAGAGAUUAGGGGAGGUGAACUCUUGAUAGGCGAAAAGGAGGGAGUAGGUAAUGUGUUGAUGAAAAAUACCCCAAAAGAUGAAGGCAAGAGAAGCUCAGAGGCUUGGGGGUAGUGGUGGUAGGAUUGGGAGGUGAUAAGUUUAGAGAGAGGGAUAGAUUUAUGGCAAUGAGAGGAAGCAAAGCCUGGUAAUCAAUGUGCAAAAGCCUAAAGCAUUUAGAUCCUACUCUGAGGCCCAUCUACUAUGGGGAGGUUCGUUUCUUGUAUAAGGAUUCAGGCAGAGUAGAGAUUAAGUCCCAGCUCCACCGCCUAUGAACUGUAGGGUAUUUAGUGAUUUAACUUCUUUGAACUUCAAUUUGCCCUCUGCCCUCUAUCCAAUGGAGAUUCUACCCACCAAGCAGGGUUGUGAAGGCUACAUGAAACAACACUUCAUUGUUACAUUAUCUAUCACCUCCUCUCCAGUAAAUGGGUGGGGCAGGGAAGCUACAGUAAGGGCUUGUGAAGAGCAAAGUGACAUCAUUAAAGGGAUGGCUGUGGCAUUAGAGGAUUAUUCAUUUUGUGAUGGUGUGCAGGAUGAACUGAGGAAGGGGAGCAUGCGUGGGUUGGAGGUGAGCGGAUUCAGGAAAACAAGUUUAUUUGACCACACCCAGGGUCCCAAAUAGCCAGACUGGCCACGGCCAAGCCAGUGGAAGUGACAAAAUGAUUGUCAGAAGGGAAGACCGAAGGGAUUUGGUAACGAUAGAGCCAAAUGUAAAAAAGUGAGAUUCAGAGGAAAAAUCAGCAGACUCCAGGAUGAAGAAAGAAGUAUCAAACAGUAGAACAAAGUAUUAAGGUUGAAAAACUUCUAACAGACGUUUGUGUUUGGGUGCUUUCUGCUUUGUUCUGCUCUGUCUGCCCAGUGCCCUAUCCUCCCCUUUCCUUGGGGUUAGCUCUUCUCUCCCUUUGAUGACAUGUCUGUAUCUGGCAAAUCAGAGCCCUUUAUUGUCUUGGCACAAUGACUGGUCUGGAGGUGAGCUUGUCAUAAGCCUGGGCCAGCCAGAGUCCUUCCCCAGGAUUUUCCUACCUGAGAUAAAUCAAAUCCUCUUGACCUCUCUGGGUAUAGAAGCUAGAAGGAUAUCUAGAGUAAACUGAUGGCAGGAGUAUGUGAAGCCAAACAGAGACCACAGGGGAGUUGAGGAGAAGCAGAAGGAUGGAUUUAGAGGUUGAUGAUGUUAUUAGUUCCAUUUCCCAAGAUCCACAGAAUUGCCCUGAUUUCUGUAGGAUUCCUUGUGAAAUUUCUGUGAACUUUGAUCCCUCUAACAAAUCCUCUUCUGUUUAAGCUAGGUUAUGCAACAGAGACACCACUAGAUUUGACUUCAGAAAAGUUAAAUUUCCUAUAAGCCAAAGUAUUAUGAACAAAACCAAGUUGAAUAAACUGGGAAACAUUCCCCGUUGGAAACAAAUACAAUAUG
rnacentral:lncRNA from 1 species